UUAACUCAAAUUUGUAUGCAGUUGGAACAGCGCCCCUAGCGACAAACGUAGGCGAACGUUCCAACUCCAUACAAACUUGAGUUA
rnacentral:pre_miRNA from 1 species